AGACCUCGUCAAAUGCCAGCACAAAAGCAGAGUUCCACACCGAGAGAAGUGCGCCCAAGGAAAGCAAUGCUGUCUGCAAAAGACACACAACCAAAGGACUUGUCUUGGACAGGGGCUGGGAUGAGUGUAAUCAGGGUGGCCCUCCUCUUGAGGAAGUGACUCUUGAGCUGAGAGGUAAGGACAAAGGAGGCAUUAACUCAAUCAAAGGAAUGGGGCUGAGAGCAUUCUAGACAGGCAAUCACAUGUGCCAAAUCCAGGGAAUGAGAAAAGCAGAGCCUUUCCAAAACACUGGAAGGAAGUCACGUGACAAGAGUGCAGUAAGCCAGGGGAAAGGGCACAAAAGGAUGGAGGGGCAGAUACCCAGGAGCUGGGGACUGCAGUGAGGAUUACAGGUGGCAGAGAUACAAUGACACAAGACUCCUCACCUCUUCUCCAUGUACACGUAGGUACCAUGCCCCCUAGGUAGCCACCUUUCCACAGCCUUGCACCAUGACAAAAGUAGCACAGAACCACUACAAAUGUUCAGACAGCUCAUGUAACUUCUUAGCUUCUUCACUUAUUACAAGUCAACACUUCAGGCCAGGGAUAUGUUUUAAAAUCCUUUCAGUUAGGUGAAAUAUGUUAACAUCAACAGUUUUCAGACUCUUGCCCUACUAAAAGGUUGGUAGUAAACGUUUCUACUGAUUGAGAAAAUGACUUUACUGAUAAAUGGCUACUGGGCUUUCUGUCCAAACAUUAAAUGAACUCUAAUGUAAUCAUGGCAGCACCUGCAUUCAUUUGAAAAAUGAUAAUCCACGUAUGUGUCCCAGAUAUAAGCAUUUUUUAAAUCUGCAGAAUGACGUUUGUGACACAUAUGAAUUUAGGGACCACUUGUAAAAAUGUCGUGGCCCAUAACUUGGAAACCGCAAGGCUAACCUCUAAGGUCCCUUUCAGUACUGAAACUCUGAUUCUAUCAUAAUUUUCAAUAAGAAUGGUUUUUAUCCUUAUAUGUUAUGGAGCAAAAGACAGAAAACUUUGGCUAACACUACAACUAAAAUCUUUUGGAACACAAAGCCAAUUGGGAAAAUCUGCUUAAGUUGACCACGAUUUACUUGAGAUUCUAAACAUGCGCACUCUGCAGCUGAUUAACAAUUCUCUUUAAUGUGUUUUUUAAGCUUCUGGAACCUCUUAACCUCAGCUGUUCUGAAUCUUGAUGUCAUCAGCCUUGAUCUCCCUACAUCCAAACAUUCUCUGUGGGCUUUGCUUUCACACAAGCCCUUCCUAUAUAAUCAUCCCAAAAGCUCCAGGCUGAUGUCCUCUAGUAUUGCAAUUUCAGGGGAAAAAAAAUUAGCUUUACAUUUCCAACACUUCCUUAAAAAAAAAUCCAGAAAUGAGUCUCCCAGACCUGGAUUACAUCUUGUGUUCAUCCCUGAACCAAUUGCUGUAACCUAGAAGAUGGAAGUUACAGAUUGGCCAAGCCAAGUGUCACUAUCCAUAUGCUUGAGAGCAGGGAGAUGUGGGAGGUUUCAAAGGAAAAACCAAGGGGACAUGAUAUGGAUAUCCCAUAGACCAAAGCAACAGUUUUAAUGACCUUCUGGACUUUUUUUUUCUAUUGCAAAUGACAGAAACCCAAUUUAUGUGGUUUUAGCAAAAAAGAGUCUGAAUUGGCUCACAUAACUGAGAACUCCAACAGUACUUUGGCUUCUGGCAUAGCUAGAUUCAGGGAUUCAAAUAACUGAAUUCCCUCUUCUUCUCCCUCUCCAUCUCUCUCCCUGUCCUGAUUUCUUUAGUCUUGACUUCAUCUUCAGGAAUGCUUUCCUCCAAAUGGAAGACUAUGUAGUCCCUGGCAGCCCUAAUGUACAUAAUCUUAGCUUCUGAACUUUCCAAAGGAGAGUGGCCUUUUCCCUCCAUCUCAGGCUUUAAAGAAGGACUCAGAAUUAGCCCCCCGGGGCCACAUGUCCAGUCAGCCACAAGUCACCCCGACCAGAGCAUGAGCUACUCUCAUGGAAAAGCCUAGAGCCCAUACCUGGGGCUGGGAAAGUAGGGCCUCAAAUUAUUAGACCUACAAAAAUAUAAAAGAAAAAACAGUUCCUUAAAGGUAAAGUCAGACGCUCCACCAAAAAAAAACAAAAACAAAAA
ensembl:lncRNA